UUUGGGAAAAAAUACUGGGAUUUUGGGAAUUCUUGUGCUUUUGGGAAUAAUCCUGGGAUUUUGGGAACGAUCCUGCUUUGGGAAUGAUCCUGGGAUUUUGGGAACAAUUCUGCUUCUGGGACGACCUUUGCACAGCUGAAGGAUUUCCCCGGAGCUCAGGCUCCAGCCCCGGCGUUCUCCUGGAUUUCCAAGAUCCCUCCUGCACGGAAGAGCCCCCGGAGCAGCGUUCCCUUGUUCAUCCAGAAAAACCAGAGCGGGGUUUUGGGGCUUCCCUCCGUGUUUUUGGGACGGGCUCAGGCUGAGCAAUCCCAAAAUCCACCUCUGAUUCGUGCGCUGCGAAUAAUUCAAAUCCUCAUUUGCGAGGCCUCGCCAGGCCCCGGCGCGUCCCUCGGCCAGGAGGGGCUGGCACGGAGCUGCUGCCGGGCACAAAAAAGCACAAAAAAGCACAAAACGCUGCUGCCAGACACAAAAAUGAAGCUUUGUCACCUUCACAACGCAAGGUUUUCCCUUUUGGAAGCGUAAAAAUAAGGAAUUCAUCAGGGCGAGGCCUGCACAGGGCCCAGCGGGGAGGCGUCGCCGCCGCCGCCGCUGUGAAACACGACCAAAAAAAGAAAUAAAAUCCUCUGGAAACGGCUGGAAUUGGGAACAAAACCCUCUGGAAUUGGGGCUCUGGAACAGCCAGGGAAGUUUUCUCCUGGCUGGGGGCAGGUUUGAGGGAAGUGCUGGUGAUAAAUGGGAUUUCGUGAGCGAGGAAGGAGGGAAGGGCCUCCCGGAGCCUCCAUCACAGCCUGGGCAAAGCUUUUUUUAUUCCAAAUACCGAGCACGGGGCUGAGCUGAUCCAAAAGGAUUUCCAGAAGAUUCUGGCAAGCACAAGAGUGGCUCCAGGCCGGGGAGGGGACACUGGGAAUGGCCUCGGGGACAGCCCCAAACCCCGCUGUGAAAAUGGUUUUGUGUGGUUUUAGUGGCAGCUGGCAGUGGAAUCAGCAAAUGUUUGGAUCUGCUGUGUGAAAAUAGACACAGAGAAAGGUUUGGAGACUUUCUGAUGGAAAAUGGACACAGAGAAAGGUUUGGAGACUUUCUGAUGGAAAAUAGACAUGAAGAAAGGUUUGGAGACUUUCUGAUGGAAAAUGGACACGAAGAAAGGUUUGGAGACUUUCUGAUGGAAAAUAGACAUGAAGAAAGGUUUGGAGACUUUCUGAUGGAAAAUGGACACGAAGAAAGGUUUGGAGACUUUGUGACCAUGUAGCCAAAGAGAGCAUCAAAAUAAAAGAAGGAAACUCUGAAA